rnacentral:rRNA from 1 species
GACGAACGCUGGCGGCGUGCCUAAUACAUGCAAGUCAAGCGGAUUGAUGGGAGCUUGCUCCCUGAUAUCAGCGGCGGACGGGUGAGUAACACGUGGGCAACCUGCCUAUAAGACUGGGAUAACUUCGGGAAACCGGAGCUAAUACCGGAUAAUCCCUUUCCUCUCAUGAGGAAAGGCUGAAAGAUGGUUUACGCUAUCACUUAUAGAUGGGCCCGCGGCGCAUUAGCUAGUUGGUGAGGUAACGGCUCACCAAGGCAACGAUGCGUACCCGACCUGAGAGGGUGAUCGGCCACACUGGGACUGAGACACGGCCCAGACUCCUACGGGAGGCAGCAGUAGGGAAUCUUCCGCAAUGGGCGAAAGUCUGACGGAGCAACGCCGCGUGAGUGAUGAAGGUUUUCGGAUCGUAAAACUCUGUUGUUAGGGAAGAACAAGUACGAGAGUAACUGCUCGUACCUUGACGGUACCUAACCAGAAAGCCACGGCUAACUACGUGCCAGCCGCCGCGGUAA